UACAGGGGUCUCAAGCGUUGUUCGGAUUCAUUGGGCGUAAAGGGUGCGUAGGUGGCGCCAUAAGUCAGGUGUGAAAUCUCGGGGCUCAACCUCGAAACUGCACUUGAUACUGUGGUGCUUGAGUACUGGAGAGGAGAUUGGAAUUUACGGUGUAGCAGUGAAAUGCGUAGAUAUCGUAAGGAAGACCAGUGGCGAAGGCGAAUCUCUGGACAGUUACUGACACUGAGGCACGAAGGCCAGGGGAGCAAACGGG
rnacentral:rRNA from 1 species